UCCUGCAAGAGUGCUGACGGCACACCUUGCCCGCUAUUAUAGCUCGGACUUUGUUGUGUCCCUCUGCCAGUACCAGAAUAUCAUUAGGUUACAAAUCAGAUCUAACGGUUUAGAUUAUUGUUCAUCUUGAGCUCUGCGCUUUCUCUCCGUUAGUUGUGACAUAACAGAAAUAAUUUAUUUGUAGGCCUGUCUUCAAAAGAAGCUUUUAUUUCAAAUGUGCUUGAGGACAUACUGGGGGGAACUGAGAGUUUAUCCUCUGGGUGUCAGGAGGGAAAAUUGCUAGGCUAUAGCAGGUUUUGAAAUACAUGUGCUUUUGCAGGAUAAAGAGUUGCUUGUACCCUGAUGCAGCGCAUCCUUGCUGCAAAGAAUAGAUUUUCUAGCAACUUCUUUUUGGUAGCUUUAGGUGUGUGUGCGUGUGUUUGUGUGUGUGUGUGUGUGUGUGUGUGUGCGCGCGCGCGUGUGCACGCAUGCAAGUAUGUGUGUAAUUAUAUUGGUUUGGUUUUUAGCCAUCAUGGUUUGAAGAGUUCUGGAUGCCUUUAAUACAAUAGUAAUAGCUGAGUUGUAGUUGUGAUAUUAGUAGACAUUUAUUGAAUGCAUACCAUAUUUGUGGUCUAGUGCUAUACUCUUUACAUGGAGUAUCUUGUUUGAUUUAUCUCAACAAUCUUAGGAUGAACCGUUGGCUGUUAACAUUCUCAUAGAG